rnacentral:lncRNA from 1 species
UCUAAAAAUGUAUAAAGAAAAUAAUGUUAUUAUUCAAAUUACCAAAUAGCCAAAGGCCUAAAGUUGUGUAUGUGUGUACGUGGCACAUCUCCUAUUUUAAAGUCGUGACCUAAAAGAAAACUAAAUGCAUUUUCCUUUGACUUAGCCGCACACCCAUCUGACCAUCUCUUAUCUCUGUCUUCAUUCAAUCAUUCUUUUUUUUUUUUUCAGCCGUGACCUUGUGACAGUGAGCCAGCGCCCUACGCCCAACUUAAUUCAUGGAUUAUUAUAUAUCUAUUAUAAUUUUAUACGUACUAUUUUUCUUUAACUUAAUACAUGAAUUAUUUUAUUAUUGUAAUUCUUUUCUUCGAAUUAGUAUUUGAAGAUAUUAAUCUUAAUUAUUAUUGUAGGCAUUGUGUUAGAUGGGUGCUUAUGAUGGUAACUGAAAUGAAUAUUUUCUCUUCGAGCUUGUUUUAAAUGAUAAUACGAAAUGUAAUUAUUAUUUUUAGAUACUAGUUAGUGUUUUUCAAAUAGAUUUGUGUAAUUUAUACUUAAAUUUGAGAAUUUGUAUUGGAUUGA